rnacentral:rRNA from 1 species
CAGUCGCCGCGGUAAUACGAAGGGUGCAAGCGUUACUCGGAAUUACUGGGCGUAAAGCGUGCGUAGGUGGUGGUUUAAGUCCGUUGUGAAAGCCCUGGGCUCAACCUGGGAAUUACAGUGGAUACUGGAUCACUAGAGUGUGGUAGAGGAUAGUGGAAUUUCCGGUGUAGCAGUGUAAUGCGUAGAGAUCGGAAGGAACAUCUGUGGCGAAGGCGACUAUCUGGGCCGACACUGACACUGAGGCACGAAAGCGUGGGGAGCAAACAGGAUUAGAUACCCCCGUAGUCCCUGUCUCUUAUAC